rnacentral:rRNA from 1 species
AACGAACGCUGGCGGCAUGCCUAACACAUGCAAGUCGAACGAGACCUUCGGGCCUAGUUGCGCACGUGUGCGUACCGCGUGGGAACCUGCCCUUAGGUUCGGAAUAACUCCCCGAAAGGGGUGCUAAUACCGGAUAAUGUCUUCGCACCAAAGAUUUAUCGCUUUUGGAUGGGCCCGCGUUGGAUUAGCUAGUUGGUAGGGUAAAAGCCUAGCAAGGCGACGAUCCAUAGCUGGUCUGGGAGGAUGAUCAGCCACACUGGCACUGAGACACGGCCCAGAAUCCUACGGGAGGGAGCAGUGGGGAAUAUUGGACGAUGGGCGAAAGCCUGAUCAAGCAAUGCCGCGGGAGAGAUGAAGGGCUUAGGGUUGUAAAGCUCUUUUAGCCGGGAUGAUAAUGACAGUACCGGGAGAAUAAGCUCCGGCUAACUCCGUG